CCCCUUUCACAGCCACCUACCUCACGAGUCCACAAUGGGGCCUCCAACAAGGGACUGAGAACAAGGGUCAUAGCUUUCCUUCUGGGCCGAUAGUCUCAGCUCAGUGCAUUUGCCACCCCCUAACCUGUUCCCAGCUUAUCUUAGGAUGAUCAGAAUCUCUCCUGCCAGGCUUUCUGCACAAGGUCACCUACAUGUUCCAGUGGUUGCUCCUAGCCUUGUGUACCCCCUGCCCAGGAAUGGAAAAAAAAAUAUUUUAAAGAGCCAGUCUUACCUGUUUUCCAUCUUCCACCACUGAGGACAGAACAGGAAAAUCAAAGAAUCACCCAUCAGAGCUGUGAUAGUCAAGGACCACCCCAUACCUGAGCAAGAACUCCCUUUAUGACAUAUUUGACAAGUGAGCUUUCAGGCUCCAGUGAAGUCUCCCCCUCUGGGCCAGCACAUUCCACUUGGUGAUAAGUUGUCAUUGUUAGAAUGAUGCUCCCUUACACGGAGUCUAAAUUUGUCUCUCUGUCACUUGUCAGUCAGUUGACAAGCAUUUAUAAAGCAAUUACUAGGACCUGUGCUAAGUGCCAGGAAUACAAAGAAAGACAGAAACAUGGGCCUUCACCUGGAGGAGUUUAUGCUAUGAUGGGAGAGAUCUACAACAGGCAAAGAAAGUUUGAUUCACUCUUCACAUUGGCAAGCAGGAUAGUAUGACCAGCUAGCCUGGCAUGGAAGCCCUGAGAAGCCAGGAUACCUGAGAUCCAAGACUGAAGGGAAUUUUGGACUUGGAACUGGGAAUGUACCCUAUGAGAAUUGGGCAAAGACAUGAAUCUCAUCCUUUUCCUGUUCCCAGAGAUUGAGGUGGUGCAAAGAGGAAGAGAUUAUGCCUCUCAUGGUGAGAGAGUAAGUUUAUAUAUUUUUAUUAUAUAUUGUCCAAAGUAAAUAUUUCUGCUUAAAAGUUAAUUAUGACCAUAAGUAGCUAAACGGAGUUAGGAUACAGAGGCCCACCACUACAACUGGGGAAACACCAUCAGUGGAAGGACAGAGACAUUUGCUUACUACCCAAAUCCCCUUAAGAUUACUGGACAAUCUAAGGAAGGAAUGAACUAAAACAUAUCUGGCCUUAAGGCAAUGGGGCCAAGAUGGUCCUGUCUUAUAGAAGUUUUAAUUGAAACUGCUUCCAUGUAUUGUUAUUGGGGCA
rnacentral:lncRNA from 1 species